rnacentral:rRNA from 1 species
GGUUGCAAAGACAACGAGCGAACUGUCGAAUUCGGUGCUUCGGGGCUGCUGCCGAUACCUCGACCAUCGAACGCCACAUCCGAGCGAAUGUCUCGUUAGCACGACGACUUGUCUCUCGAUAUUCGUUGCGGGGGGUUCGAGGCAGUGUCGGUGGACCGGUCUCGCCGUUUCGAAUGUUUGGUGUGUUGGGAAUCGGUGCCUCGCCGGGCCUUUGUGUUUCGGCUUCCAACGCGUUCGCUUUGGUUUGUCGCAGACAUGCGGGGAUGGCGCAUCGAGGUUCCAAUUCACACCUCUGCCACAGGGGUGCAUCCGGCCCGUUGCACCGUGCCCCUCCCGCGCGGGGCUUCCGUUUGACGACCGUCAGAGGAGGCGCGGCGCGUGGGGCCGGUUCGGUUCCGUCGGAUCCCUCGGCCUCGCUCCCUCGAUGUCUCGAGCGAAAUGCGAUACUUAGUGUGAAUUGCAGAAUCCCGUGAAUCAUCGAUUCUUUGAACGCAAGUUGCGCCUUGGGCCUCGGCCAAGGGCACGUCUGCUUGGGCGUCGCAUUCAAUUAAGCGCCCUUGUCCAUGGUCGGGCAUUGGAGCGGAGUUGGCCGUCUGCGCCUCCCCCGGCUCGGUUGGCUAAAACGGUUUUUGGAUUCCCGUCGUCCCGCACUGGUGAGCGGUUGUCUGGCUGCCUCCGGGAAAUAGGCCCGCGCGGGCCGGUGCAGGAAGCGGGCGGUGUUUCCUUUGCGGCCCCUCCGCCUGUCGCGCCGCGGUUCUCCGUCGUCGUGCCUACAGGCCCAUUUCAUGCGACCCC